rnacentral:rRNA from 1 species
UACGUAGGCGGGAAAUUAAGUCAGUAGUGAAAUCCCACAGCUUAACUGUGGAACUGUUAUUGAUACUGGUUUUCUUGAAUAUAGUUGAGGUAGGCGGAAUGUGUAAUGUAGCGGUGAAAUGCUUAGAUAUUACACAGAACACCGAUUGCGAAGGCAGCUUACUAAGCUACGAUUGACGCUGAGGUACGAAAGCGUGGGGAGCGAACAGGAUUAGAUACCCUGGUAGUCC